UACAGAGGGGGCAAGCGUUGUUCGGAAUUACUGGGCGUAAAGGGCGCGUAGGCGGCCUGUUAAGUCGGACGUGAAAUCCCUCGGCUCAACCGGGGAACUGCGUCCGAUACUGGCGGGCUUGAAUUCGGGAGAGGGAUGUGGAAUUCCAGGUGUAGCGGUGAAAUGCGUAGAUAUCUGGAGGAACACCGGUGGCGAAGGCGGCGACCUGGGUCGAUACUGACGCUGAGGCGCGAAAGCGUGGGAUCAAACAGG
rnacentral:rRNA from 1 species